GUGUCAGCAGCCGCGGUAAGACGAACCGUGCGAACGUUGUUCGGAAUCACUGGGCUUAAAGGGCGCGUAGGCGGCGACUCAAGUCCGGGGUGAAAGCCCCCGGCUCAACCGGGGAAGUGCCUUGGAUACUGGGUCGCUCGAGGGAGGUAGGGGUCGAGGGAACUUCUGGUGGAGCGGUGAAAUGCGUUGAUAUCAGAAGGAACGCCGGUGGCGAAAGCGCUCGACUGGACCUCUGCUGACGCUGAGGCGCGAAAGCCAGGGGAGCAAACGGGAUUAGAUACCCCGGUAGUCC
rnacentral:rRNA from 1 species